UAUUUGUUGUAUUUUAAUUCAAUUCAAACACCACACCAUUGUAAUGCAUGCACUGUUGUUUUAAAAUUUAAAUAAAAAAAUAUGAAUCUUUGGAAAUAGCUAAUGUAAUCUGAAGGAUUUUCUAUAAAAGAAAACGGAUUAAUAAAACAAAAAAUACAGUUCUUUUCCCAAAUAUGAAUAAUUAGUCUUUAAUUUUUCCAUUCAAAAUAUUACAGAUAUAAAGCGAAACAAUACCAUAUAAACGUCUUAUAUAAAUGUUAAAAGACAACAAACGUGUCUGCUAACAUUUAAAGAAUGUUAGCGAAAACCGCUUUUGUGAAAACAGAUUUUAUUAAUGAGUGCGCAUGCCCAGAAUCUAUUUGUUUAUCGGGGAGAGUUGAGCCCACGUUGUUGUCGUAGUUGUCGCAAAAGCGGGAAAUUUCCGUUUCGGCGGUAACCGCCGCAGCACCGACUCCACCAGCAGCACGUAUGCGGAGUAUGAAAGAGCCCAGACAUAAAGCAGGUGGCUGCUGCACUGCCCGUGUCCUCUUUUGCCCCCCCGCCAGCAUCCACGCCGCACUGUGUCUUUAAAGGACGGACGUCUGCUCCCCGUGGAGCAUGGAGUGCGAGCCGGCCAUGUGGUACCCGCCUGAUCCGUAGUACUCCGGGGAUGGAGAGCAGGACGACGGCGAGUCUCGGGAGCCGCCGGGGUGGUCCAGCAUUUGUAGAUCCACAAAGCCGCUCCCACCCACACCAUUGCAGCCCUCAGAGCCCGGACCCUGGGUCGCAUCCAGGGUGUCGACAAGCCCAACGCUUCCACCGCCACCGCCCCCACAGUCCACCUUCUCCAGGGCCAUGAGUGACAGCUGGUCCAGGGCGAAGCGGAGCACCUCUUGGUGAUCCUCUUCCCGGGACUCCUGGUCCGUCUCUCGGGGCAGACCCACUCCGUUGUGCUGGCUGCUGAUCACCACUUCGUGGUCCAUAAUCUCGGGGUGGAAUAAAGGGCUCGGCAUAGUGUGGAUCUCACAUCAGACCCGGGAUGCCUAAAUGUUGGAGCUCACUUUGACCUGAAAUGACAAAUAAAUAUAAACAAUUCUGUUGUA